CCUACGGGCGGCAGCAGUGGGGAAUAUUGGACAAUGGGGGGAACCCUGAUCCAGCCAUGCCGCGUGUGUGAAGAAGGCCCUCGGGUUGUUAAGCACUUUCAGUGAGGAAGAACGCCUGGUGGUUAAUACCCAUCAGGAAAGACAUCACUCACAGAAGAAGCACCGGCUAACUCCGUGCCAGCAGCCGCGGUAAUACGGAGGGUGCGAGCGUUAAUCGGAAUUACUGGGCGUAAAGCGCGCGUAGGUGGCUUGAUAAGCCGGUUGUGAAAGCCCCGGGCUCAACCUGGGAACGGCAUCCGGAACUGUCAAGCUAGAGUGCAGGAGAGGAAGGUAGAAUUCCUGGUGUAGCGGUGAAAUGCGUAGAGAUCGGGAGGAAUACCAGUGGCGAAGGCGGCCUUCUGGACUGACACUGACACUGAGGUGCGAAAGCGUGGGUAGCAAACAGGAUUAGAUACCCCGGUAGUC
rnacentral:rRNA from 1 species